GAGUUUGAUCCUGGCUCAGAUUGAACGCUGGCGGCAUGCCUUACACAUGCAAGUCGAACGGCAGCACGGGUGCUUGCACCUGGUGGCGAGUGGCGAACGGGUGAGUAAUACAUCGGAACAUGUCCUGUAGUGGGGGAUAGCCCGGCGAAAGCCGGAUUAAUACCGCAUACGAUCUGAGGAUGAAAGCGGGGGACCUUCGGGCCUCGCGCUAUAGGGUUGGCCGAUGGCUGAUUAGCUAGUUGGUGGGGUAAAGGCCUACCAAGGCGACGAUCAGUAGCUGGUCUGAGAGGACGACCAGCCACACUGGGACUGAGACACGGCCCAGACUCCUACGGGAGGCAGCAGUGGGGAAUUUUGGACAAUGGGCGAAAGCCUGAUCCAGCAAUGCCGCGUGUGUGAAGAAGGCCUUCGGGUUGUAAAGCACUUUUGUCCGGAAAGAAAUCCUUGGUUCUAAUAUAGCCGGGGGAUGACGGUACCGGAAGAAUAAGCACCGGCUAACUACGUGCCAGCAGCCGCGGUAAUACGUAGGGUGCAAGCGUUAAUCGGAAUUACUGGGCGUAAAGCGUGCGCAGGCGGUUUGCUAAGACCGAUGUGAAAUCCCCGGGCUCAACCUGGGAACUGCAUUGGUGACUGGCAGCUAGAGUAUGGCAGAGGGGGUAGAAUUCCACGUGUAGCAGUGAAAUGCGUAGAGAUGUGGAGGAU
rnacentral:rRNA from 1 species